UUCGCAAUGCCCGAAAGGGUGACGAAGCGACGCCGCGUGUGGGAAGAAGGCCUUCGGGUUGUAAGCCACUGUCGGGAGUUAAGAAAUGUAAGGGUGUUAAUAGCGCCUUUACUUGACUAAGGCUCCGGAGGAAGCCACGGCUAACUCUGUGCCAGCAGCCGCGGUAAUACAGAGGCGGCAAGCGUUGUUCGGAAUUAUUGGGCGUAAAGAGCACGUAGGCGGCCUUGUAAGUCAGUUGUGAAAGCCUUCUGCUUAACGGAAGAACAGCAUCUGAUACUGCAAGGCUAGAGUGCGGAAGGGGAGAGUGGAACUUCUGGUGGAGCGGUGAAAUGCGUAGAUAUCAGAAGGAACACCGGCGGCGAAGGCGACUCUCUGGUCCGCAACUGACGCUGAGUGUGCGAAAGCUAGGGGAGCAAACGGGAUUAGAUACCCCGGUAGUCCUAGCCGUAAACGAUGGGCACUAAGUAGAGGGGUUUU
rnacentral:rRNA from 2 species